rnacentral:rRNA from 1 species
UACGUAGGCAGCAAGCGUUGUUCGGAAUUACUGGGCGUAAAGGGUGCGUAGGCGGCUUUUUAAGUUUGGUGUGAAAUCUCCCGGCUCAACUGGGAGGGUGCGCCGAAUACUGAGAAGCUAGAGUGUGGGAGAGGAAAGUGGAAUUCCUGGUGUAGCGGUGAAAUGCGUAGAUAUCAGGAGGAACACCGGUGGUGUAAACGGCUUUCUGGACCGUAACUGACGCUGAGACACGAAAGCGUGGGUAGCAAACAGG